rnacentral:rRNA from 1 species
UACGAAGGGGGCUAGCGUUGCUCGGAAUCACUGGGCGUAAAGGGUGCGUAGGCGGGUCUUUAAGUCAGGGGUGAAAUCCUGGAGCUCAACUCCAGAACUGCCUUCGAUACUGAGGAUCUCGAGUCCGGGAGAGGUGAGUGGAACUGCGAGUGUAGAGGUGAAAUUCGUAGAUAUUCGCAAGAACACCAGUGGCGAAGGCGGCUCACUGGCCCGAUACUGACGCUGAGGAGCGAAAGCAUGGGGAGCGAACGAGGAUUGAUGA